rnacentral:rRNA from 1 species
GACGAACGCUGGCGGCGUGCUUAACACAUGCAAGUCGAACGGAAAGGCCUCUUUCGGGGGGUACUCGAGUGGCGAACGGGUGAGUAACACGUGAGUAACCUGCCCUUGACUUUGGGAUAACUUCAGGAAACUGGGGCUAAUACCGGAUAGGAGCUCCUGCUGCAUGGUGGGGGUUGGAAAGUUUCGGCGGUUGGGGAUGGACUCGCGGCUUAUCAGCUUGUUGGUGGGGUAGUGGCUUACCAAGGCUUUGACGGGUAGCCGGCCUGAGAGGGUGACCGGCCACAUUGGGACUGAGAUACGGUCCAGACUCCUACGGGAGGCAGCAGUGGGGAAUAUUGCACAAUGGGUGGAAGCCUGAAGCAGCAACGCCGUGUGCGGGAUGACGGCCUUCGGGUUGUAAACCGCUUUCGCUCAUGACGAAGCUUUGUGUGACGGUAGUGGGUAAAGAAGCACCGGCUAACUACGUG